AGCCAUCAGCCCAGAGCCUGACGCGGGGCUCGAACUCACGGACCGCGAGAUCGUGACCUGGCUGAAGUCGGACGCUUAACCGACUGCGCCACCCAGGCGCCCCAACGUUUAUUUAUUUUUGAGACAGAGACAGAGCAUGAACGGGGGAGGGUCAGAGAGAGAGGGAGACACAGAAUCUGAAACAGGCUCCAGGCUCUGAGCGGUCAGCCCAGAGCCUGACGCGGGGCUCAAACUCAUGGACCGCAAAAUCAUGACCUGAGCUGAAGUCGGACACUUAACCGACUGAGCCACCCAGGCGCCCCAUCCAUGUGUCUCUUUAUAAGGGCUCUAGUCACUGGAUUAGGGCCCAGCUUAAUACAGUAUGAUCACGUCUGAACUGGAUUACAUUUGCAAAGACCCUAUUUCCAAAUAAGGUCACAUUCUGAGGGGGCCGGGGGACAUGAAUUUUGGGGGACGCCAUCCAACCCAAUGUAGCCUGUGGGCUGGCAAUGUUUGGUCUAGCUGUGUUACCGUCCUCCGACUUCUGUCCUCAGGUUCCUUCCUCUGGCGGCAUUUUCACGGCUCCUUCACCUCUCUGGAUGUGAACAGGAGGCACCACAAUCUUCUGGUCUUGGUUUGGCUGCUUCAAGGGCCACCUUGUGGACAGUCACUGCUCUUCUGGAUAUUUCGUUCGUGUGCGUCCUGGCAGGACAACAGAAGCGCCCUGGGCUGUGGUGGGAGCGUUCUGAGAAUGGGAUGCACUCUCUGUGCCUGGUCAGAUGCAGCUCUCCGUGGUGCUGUCUCUGAACAGCCCUUUCCUUGACUUGUAUUUUAUUUUAGCACUUCUUCCUAAAUUGCAGUGAAGUGUGAACUCACCUGUUUCCUCUCUGGACUCUGAGCUCCAUGAGGUCAAAGGCUGCGCUUUUACUCCAGAGAUUCAGCCAGGAGAAUAGUAGACCCUCAGUAGAUGUUUGCUGAGCAGAGGAUACUUCAGGGAGGUCACCAAGUCCAUACUCAGGGAAUAAAGUAGUGAAUGAACAAAUAUGGGCCAUUGUCACGGAGUAUUACUUGACUUAGACAAUGACAGCUGCUGUAGAAAGCUCAACACAUGGACCUAUGACAGUAUCUGUCAGGAGGACCUGAUCAACCCUGAGAGCUAAGGAAGGCUGGCUUCCUUGGAACGUGGCAUUCAAACUAUGCUUUGAAGAGACAGCCCUCUCUGUUGGAGCUUUUCUGCUCUGGCUGAGGAAACUGGUUCUGUGUGAUGUGUUAUUGCCCCUCCUUCUGAACAGGAACAAUGUUUCAUAUGAAGCAAAUGUCUUUCAGUUCCUGGUGGCAUUUCUGACAGCUUCUGGAAGAGGGGUUCUGCUUGGCAGAUUCCUGGAGUGUCUUCUACAUGCUUCAACCUGUUCUCUCCCAGUGUGGUGCACUUCAGGUCUGGGUUCACAUUGAGCCACCUGAGAGGAGCUGGGAACGUGCUGUUUCUCAUCAUUUCCACCCAGCAAGAGAAUUGGAGAGAAAGAGCUACACCCAAGCCAAUUAUGGCGGGGUCCUUGGGGGCUGUUAUGUAAUCUUCCAGAGACAGUGGAAUGGAGUGGGCCUUGAGUUCCAGUGGGCACGCUGGCUGAAACAGAGUCUUUUCUGUACUCCAGGUCUUGGGCCAUCUGUGGUGGAGCAAGCUCCCUCAAUGCUGGAGAAAGUCCUUUGGCAGAGAAGAAGCUUACAGCAUGCUGGGACCUGCCUGCUGCACCUGUGGGGGGAUUCAGUGCCUUUCAUUGGCUGAGCUCAACUGGAAGCAGAAGGAAACGUUGCCUGGAUAAUGCAGUCCACAGGGGUCUGUCUUCUGAAGGACAGCAUGGGGCAAAGAGAGCCAGAGGAUGGGGCAGAGGGGUGGCAAUGAGAACACAGUCUGACUGAUUGCUUCCAGAAUGCCUCCCCCCUUUCCAUCCAAUCUCACAGUCAUCAUCUUUGUUACAACAUCAUCAUUCUACCCGUGGACUAUUGGGACAACCUCCUAACACAUCUCCCUAUCUCCAAUCCACCAAUACUAAUGCCUGUGACACAGACUGAGUCCUACCACUUCCCUUUCAGAGAACUCUGGUGUUUCUCAUUCUCUACUCCUUACUGAAGAUGGCCAGAUGAAAGGCAAUUUAGGGGAUAAAAAGAGAAUUCUGAGACUUCACAUCUUAUUUCUAAAAAGGAGAAUCAGUAUUAAGAAGCUGGAAAUGGACUUGUUUUCCAGGACUUGUGUUCUACUGCAUUCUUCCAUGUGCCUUGGGUACCAGCCCUGACAUCACUGGACUGCACCAUCCACGCUGAGAAUUCUAUUCCUUUGCUCUUGCUGUUCCUCCAGCCCAGAAAGCCCCUCCCCAGCUGGCCUCCUUGGUGGAUGGUUUGAUCAACAGUUCAUGGUUUGUCUAGAUGGAGUGAAGAUACCAAAAUGGAGUAGGAGACAGAUCAGAAACCUCAAGAGGGGAAGCUCAAGGCAUAUAGGAGCGAAUUAUGGUGAGAACUUGCCUAGUUUCCAAGAGGUGGAUAGGAAUGGGAGAAGGCAUGCUAAUGUUGCACAGAGAGGGCUACAUGGGGACCCCAGUUAGUUUCUCUACACAUUGAUCUGUUCAGUUGAAAGCUCUUGUCAUGCCCUCAAAUAGCUCUUCCCAUGGAAUCAUUAUGAACCCAAAGAUGGCUUUGGCCUCUUGCCCACCCUCCCAGCAAUGAACACACACAGCCUGUUGGUCAGUGUUGUGAGAGAGACUCCCAUACUUGAGACCUGGACUCAGUGUGUGGGUUGUGCUUCUCCAGGCACUGCCUGUGACCAGAUAGCACCAGACCUAGACAUUGGGCAUCUGCUCCUGCUGGGUCUGCAGAUGAAGAUAGGGCAGUAGACGGUGAGAUGUACCCUGCUCUGAAUCAGAGUACAAUGACAGGCAGAUAAGCACAUGUAAAAUGAAACCACCAAACCCACUCCUACUUCUGAUCACUGAGCAGCCACCUCAGAAAUGUAAUAGGAAAAUUAUUUGGAAGCUAGUUCUCUGGAUCAAGACAGAUUUUGUAUGAGGAGAAUGGAGUUAGGGUGUCAUCUCCUGGUUCUGUGGUCUCCCUGUAUUUCCUUGGCCAACAACACUUUUAGCCUUUGCUUCUUCACUUCCUCUUUCUUUUGGUUUGCCUUUCAUCCCCCAAUGCUUGAUCUCCAAUUGGGGUUCUCUGAGUUUCAGUUUUGCAUCCCAGUAAAAAAUGGGAUUCUCCCUCCAGA